rnacentral:sRNA from 1 species
AAAUAUGCUUUCUGGAUAUGCUGAACCAGCUCAUAUCAAUGAUUUCAUGUUUGAGCAGCAAAGGAGAACUUUUGCAACAUAUGGUUAUGCAUUAGACCCUUCAUUAGAUAAUCAUCAAGUGUCUGCUAAAUAUAUAGGUUCUGUAGAAGAAGCUGAAAAAAAUCAAGGUUUAACUGUAUUUGAAACUGGUCAGAAGAAAACAGAAAAGAGGAAAAAGUUUAAAGAAAAUGAUGCAUCCAAUAUUGAUGGUUUUUUGGGACCAUGGGCAAAAUAUGUGGAUGAAAAAGAUGUAGCCAAACCUUCAGAAGUAAGCUUUGAUGUUUUUAAUUGUCAAUUCAGGUAUACGCUGUAUCUCUAUGAAGGAUAUCUACAUUAAUAAACUUGAGAUUUCUUUAGAGAA